UUAAUUGAGAGUUUGAUCCUGGCUCAGGAUGAACGCUGGCGGCGUGCUUAACACAUGCAAGUCGAACGGACUACUUUGGUAGUUAGUGGCGGACGGGUGAGUAACACGUGGGUAACCUACCUUAUACUGUGGAAUAACGUUUGGAAACAAACGCUAAUACCGCAUAAUCCAUUUUCUUCGCAUGUUGAGGAUGGCAAAGAUUUA
rnacentral:ncRNA from 1 species